rnacentral:rRNA from 1 species
AUUGAACGCUGGCGGCAGGCCUAACACAUGCAAGUCGAGCGGAUGAGUGGAGCUUGCUCCAUGAUUCAGCGGCGGACGGGUGAGUAAUGCCUAGGAAUCUGCCUGGUAGUGGGGGACAACGUUUCGAAAGGAACGCUAAUACCGCAUACGUCCUACGGGAGAAAGUGGGGGAUCUUCGGACCUCACGCUAUCAGAUGAGCCUAGGUCGGAUUAGCUAGUUGGUGAGGUAAAGGCUCACCAAGGCGACGAUCCGUAACUGGUCUGAGAGGAUGAUCAGUCACACUGGAACUGAGACACGGUCCAGACUCCUACGGGAGGCAGCAGUGGGGAAUAUUGGACAAUGGGCGAAAGCCUGAUCCAGCCAUGCCGCGUGUGUGAAGAAGGUCUUCGGAUUGUAAGGCACUUUAAGUUGGGAGGAAGGGCAGUAAGUUAAUACCUUGCUGUUUUGACGCUACCAACAGAAUAAGCACCGGCUAACUUCGUGCCAGCCGCCGCUGUAAAAC